rnacentral:rRNA from 1 species
GGGACUAGGCCUUCCUAGUAGGCGCCCCACUAUGCGGCAGACGGCUCAACAACACGUAGGCAACAUGCCCAGGGGACGCGGAUAACCUCGGGAAACUGAGGACAAACCACGAUAAGUCACUACUUCGGGGAUGGGUAAUGACUCAAAUCUACAUGGCCCCUGGAUUGGACUGCGGCCGAUCAGGCUGUUGGUGAGGUAAUGGCCCACCAAACCUGUAACCGGUACGGGCUCUGAGAGGAGGAGCCCGGAGAUGGGCACUGAGACAAGGGCCCAGGCCCUAUGGGGCGCAGCAGGCGCGAAACCUCUGCAAUAGGCGAAAGCCUGACAGGGUUACUAUGAAUGAUUUCCGUUAAGGAGAUCUUUUGGCACCUCUAAAAAUGGUGCAGAAUAAGGGGUGGGCAAGUCUGGUGUCAGCCGCCGCGGUAAUACCAGCACCCCGAGUGGUCGGGACGUUUAUUGGGCCUAAAGCAUCCGUAGCCGGUUCUACAAGUCUUCCGUUAAAUCCACCUGCUUAACAGAUGGGCUGCGGAAGAUACUAUAGAGCUAGGAGGCGGGAGAGGCAAGCGGUACUCGAUGGGUAGGGGUAAAAUCCGUUGAUCCAUUGAAGACCACCAGUGGCGAAGGCGGCUUGCCAGAACGCGCUCGACGGUGAGGGAUGAAACCUGGGGGAGCAAACCGGAUUAGAUACCCGGGUAGUCCCAGCUGUAAACGAUGCAGACUCGGUGAUGAAUUGGCUUUAUGCCAAUUCAGUGCCGCAGGGAAGCCGUUAAGUUUCCCAAAGGCGCCGUACGGUCGCCAGUCUGAAACUUAGGCCCCAAUAAAA